CGAGAAUCCUGAGUGGAAGGGAUCUGAACUUUCAUGUCAUGUACUUCGAGAAGAGGGUAGAUGAGACUCAAGAAUGAUAAUCAGACCAGUCCUACUCCUCCCAACCCCCAAAAGAUGGCAUUUACACAUCACGGAAACCUAUGGGUCUAACAGGUUAUUCUCUCUCUCUCAGUUCUUGGGAAAAGGGAGACAAGCCCUCGGCCAGAUUCCUUUAGGGAAGAGUUCUCUGUGCCGGUGGCUGGAGCUUGCGGUGCGUGCUCAGCCAGGAGGCCCCAGCCAGGCACCUCUAGACUCCGAUGUGCCACAGAGGGCAGGGGCUCCCGCUGUCACUUCCAUUUUAGACCAAACAGCUCCUGGGUGCAGCGACUCUUUCACCCUCUCUUCAGGGUGGGGAGAAACGGGGUGGACUGGAGCCCGCGCGGCCCUCACGAACUCUCCCUGAGCAGCCCCAGCUUCCGCAGGGCCUCCCUGCGCGCCUCCUCCGAGGAGCCGCGGCCCGCGAACUGCACGGUGAUGCCCUGGGGCCGGGGCAGGGAGUCUGCGCGGCGCCAGUCCUGGGCGCCGUUGGGCUGCCGGGGCCCGGGGAAGCUCUGACGGGCCCGCGUGCUGGGCAGGGCCGGGCCAGGGCGGAAGCAGAGGGACUUCCCAGCGGGCGCGAAGGAGCUGGGUGCGCUCUUCAGGGCCUCGUGCGCACUUGGGAAGCCGUUGGCCAGCGCCGGGCCCCGCGGAGCCUGACCCCCUGCCCGGAGACUCUCAGCGGGGCCCGGCAGGCCCCGGCCACGCGCCACCCGCUCCGGGGAGGAGCCGCCCCCUGGGGCCCCCUCGCCGGCGUCCCCCGCGGCGGGGAAGGCGCCGGCGUGGCCGUGGAUGGUGGCCAACACCUGCGCCCUGCGCUCCUGCACGCUGACGGCCGCCCUGGACAGGGUCCUGCGGGGCUCCCGGGCCGCGCCGUUGGUGACGAUGAUGUUGCUGGGGAAGCGGGCAGGUGCAGGCCCUGGAAGACAAGGGAGGAGCCUGUGAGCCACCGGCCCACGUGAAAGUAAAUGCAUGAAGUUCCCUCUCGCUGAACUGAAAAGAGCCUCAACCUGGACCUGACACCAACUUCGCCGGUGCUGCCUGGCUGGUUGCUCUAGCGCCCUGAAGGAGAGGAAUGCAGUCAUAUUUCACUGUGAUUUUCAGUGUCAUUUCCACGAAGACUAAUGAUGUUGAGCUUUUUUUUCUCCAUAAUACAGGAAAGAGACCCAAACCCAUGAAGAAUGAGAUACAUGUACAGUUUUGAUUAUAAAACCAAAGAAUAAUGGCUUCACAAGAUGACGGCUGGGCUCCUGGGCUGCCUUCAGUGUCUUUAAACAGAGAUAGAGUCUUGCUAUGUUGUCCAGGCUGACACUGAACUCUUGGGCUCCAACGAUCCUCCUGCCCCGGCCUCCUGAGUACCUGGGAUUAUAGGCACAAGUCACCAUGCCCAGCCGGAAUAAUCUGAAGGAAAGACGGGUAUAUUCAAGAUGACUUUGCUGCUGGAAAUAUGACAGAAUAAUGUGGUAUCUUCUUCUGCACUUCCAAGCUCUUUCACACUCAGGCUCUUCCUGGCUUUUCUGCCUCAGCCACCAUAAACUGUGGUUGCUUCUCCAGCUCUGUUACAGUUCAGACUUGAGGGGAGGUGACAAGAGCUAACAUGUUACCAUGGGGAGCCUGGCUGACAUCUCCGAAACUGAAGACUCUAUGGAAGCCUCAUGCUAUUGCAAUGUGUACAUCAAAAGUAAAGUACCCCAGGUUAAAACUAUGAGGAAGUUGCCAUCUUUACUUCCAGGAGCAAAGACACUGAAACUGUCCCCUGUAAGCCCCUUAAUUUCAUACAGUCCUCUGACUGCCCCCCCAACCCUGGCUACUUUUUUUUGAAAUAAGGUCUCACUCUGUCAUCCAGGCUGGAGUGCAGUGGCAAAAUCACAAUACCCUGCAGCCUUGACCUCAUGGGCUCAAGCAGUCCUCCCACCUCAGCCUCCUGGGUAGCUGGGACUACAGGCUUGCACUACCACACCCAGCUUAUUUUUUGUAGAGACAGAGUUUCGUCAUGUUGCCCAGGCUGGUCUCAGGAGUCACUCCUGAGCUCAAGUGAUCCGCCUGCCUUGGCCUCCCACAGUGCUGGGAUUACAGGAGUGAGCCACCAUGUCUGGUCCUCUGACCCUUUUAGCAGGAAAUCCAGCCCAGCCCCUGAACGGCAUGUUAGACAGUUCAACAAAGCCUUCUAGAAGACCAAAGAAGACUCAUAGGAAUAAGCCUCUUGCUGAUUAAUGGAAACAUGACCAUUUGUGGAGAAAGUGCAAUCUGCAUUGAACACCUUUAGGGGAACCUGUCAUUUAAGACUUCAAGCAUUACCAUGAAAACUUCCUCUGAAACACCUUACAGACAUCUCUGUAAAACAGAUUUAAAAAGAAACACAUUUCUGCUUAAUCGGUACACAUCAAAUGGCGAUUUAAGAGCAAGGCUAGGAAACCAGAAGAUGAUAUGCAUAUACAUAAAGUUGCCACUAUUCCAAAUAGUAAAAUAAAGACAAAGUCAAUGGUCCUAGGAGAGCUGGUGGGUUGUGGAGCCAGGAGAGAAAGGCAGCUCCCUUCACCUUCCCUGUACAUUCCAGGAGGCCCUAGAAUGACCUAGAUGGUGUUACGCACAAAGCCCUCCUUUUCCCAUCCCGCCAUCAUCUCAGGAGCAAAUGGCCACACUCGGGUAUACGGAGCAGCUCAAGCAACCAGGUCUUCCUGCCAUUCCCCUGAAAGGGCUGGUUUUGCCAAACGCCAGAGCCACAUUGUGUUAAUCAGCGCCCAUCCCUAGACACAGGGGCUUGCAGCCUUGUCACACAAAUGAGCCAUGGAGAUGUUUCCGACUCCUCCCCUCCCUGCCACUCACAAGCAGCCAGCUGCCGAGCCCUGCAGACUCUUCCUUUACGACGUCAGUUGUAUCCACUUCCCUUCUGGUCCCACACCCAAGUUCAGGACCAUUUUAGCACGUGCCUACAUUAUUGCCACAGCCAUUGUCUUCAUCUGUUUUGUGCUGCUGUACAAGGAACAAACUUAUUUGGCUUGUGGUUUGGGAGGUUGGGAAAUCCAAGAUCCAGGGCCACAUCUGCUGAAGGCCUUCCUGCUGUACCGUAACAUAACGGGAGGCAUCACUGGUGAGAGAGAGAGAGCACAAGAAAGGGCCAAACUCGCUUUUAUAGUGAACCCACUCCUGCAAUAACAACGUUCAAAUGCUAACCACCUCUUCCCGUCCCUGCCCCUCAACAUGGCCAUGCUGGGGAUUAAGUGUCCAACACAUGAGCUUUGGGAUACAUGUUCCAACUACAGCCGCCACCUGCUGUCCUCCUUGCCUUCUCCCUCUUCUCUACACUUCUGCCGGAUUCUCUAGUUGGAUUAAUCUUGAAACAUCACUUAAUUGUUACCACUCUCCCAAAAGCAGUCAAUUUUAACCCAUUCCCAACAGGCUUGAGAAUAAAA
rnacentral:lncRNA from 1 species